CAUAGUUUCCAUCACUUAAAGAACAAGGCUAGGAAGGUUUUAAGAGGAGUAGGAAAGGUUGGGUAGCUUAGAAUACACCUUGUUAAGCAUGGGGUGAAAUAUGAUCUUGCGGGAUGAGAAUGACUGUUUUUAUCACGCAGAAACAAAGGUAGAAGAAGGGUUUUGAGAGAGAAAUAGAAAGAGUUAGCUUAGAAUACACCUUUUUAAGCAUGGGGUGACAUAUGAUCUUGUGGGAUGAGAAUGACUGUUUUUAUCACACAGAAACAAAGCUAGAAGGGUUUUGAGAGGGGAAUAGAAAAGAUUGGCUAGCUUAGAAUACACCUUUUUAAGCAUGGGGUGAAAUAUGAUCUUGUGGGAUGAGAAUGACUGUUUUUAUCACACAGAAACAAAGGGAGAAGAAGGGUUUUGAGAGGGGAAUAGAAAAGAUUAGCUAGCAUAGAAUACACCGUGUUAAGCAUGGGGUGAAAUAUGAUCUUGUGGGAUGAGAAUGACCAUUUUUAUCACACAGAAACAAAGAUAGAAGAAGGGUUUUGAGAGGUGACUAGAAAAGAUUGGCUAGCUUAGAAUACACCUUUUUAAGCAUGGAGUGAAAUAUGAUCUUGUGGGCUGAGAAUGACCAUUUUUAUCACACAGAAACAAAGAUAGAAGAAGGGUUUUGAGAGGUGACUAGAAAAGAUUGGCUAGCUUAGAAUACACCUUUUUAAGCAUGGAGUGAAAUAUGAUCUUGUGGGCUGAGAAUGACCAUUUUUAUCACACAGAAACAAAGAUAGAAGAAGGGUUUUGAGAGGUGAAUAGAAAGAGUUAGCUUAGAACACACCUUUUUAAGCAUGGGGUGAAAUAUGAUCUUGUGGGAUGAGAAUGACUGUUUUUAUCACACAGAAACAAAGAUAGAAGAAGGUUUUUGAGAGGUGACUAGAAAAGAUUGGCUAGCUUAGAACACACCUUUUUAAGCAUGGUGGGAAAUAUGAUCUUGUGGGAUGAGGAUGUCAUAAUUUUCGUCACUUAAAGAACAAGGCUAGGAAGGUUUUAAGAGAAGUAGGAAAGGUUGCCUAGCUUAGAAGAUACAUUUUUGGGGUGAAAUAUGAUCUUGCGGGAUGAGAAUAACUAAAAACACACAGUAACAAAGGUAGCAGAAGGGUUUUGAGAGGUGAAUAGAAAGGGUUAGCUUUGAAGACAUCUUUUAAAAAUACGUUCUUUUGUGAGAGGCCCUUUCUUAAGACGUGUUGUGCAUUGCGUUCGUGUUUUUACUUAAAGAAAUGCUCAAGUCCCGCACAGCAAUCGUUUACUUCAUCUAUCCCUUCUUCCCAUGAGCCAACUUUCUGGUCUUCCAUAUAGUUUUUGUACACACAUUUGAGGCAUUCGACGGAGAAGGAGCGGAAGGGACAGAGCGAUUUAUUUUCUAGCUUGCACUGGGACAGGCAGACGAUAACAGGUUGCAAGGGAAAAGUGACCUUGUAGUUGGUGUACCGAGGGUUGGUUUUCCCUUGCAGCUUAUGUCUAGUUCUUCCUGGGAUGUGGAGUUUGUCUUUCCCAGUGCAGACUGAAAAAAUAUGGUUGUUCCUUACGCCCCUUCUCUUCCGAACACCUCAAAUAUUUCCUGUCACAUCACCAGACUGACAUGAUUCUGCGCCUUCCCUGUUUCUACCAAUGAGUAAUAGAUGAUUCUUGGUGUGUUUAUGACCUUUGUGAGUCGCUAGCUUUCCUUCCGCUGUUUUACGUAUUCCGAGUUUUGCACCGUAGGGUAAAUUCUAUAAUGAUUCAUGUUACGAGCAGCAUAGACAUAUUUUUGAGGUUGUUUAAAUAUGUCGCUACCGAGGCCAGUUCCUUCGCUCUGGUGUGGAAAACAUGCUCAAGGAAAGAUGAUUGAACCCUCAAGAAUAAAACUAAACUAAG